AUCUUUUUUGGUUCAUAAGCACAAUGAUUGGGUUUGCAGGCUAUUGUCUGAGAUGUGCCUUCCUCUAAACCUUUUUAUGACAUCAGCACAUUACCCAUCUUACA